rnacentral:lncRNA from 1 species
GAAGAGCGAUGCGAGCUCCUCGAAGGUUCUCCGAACGAGAAGACGCAGCGGAAAUGAUGAUUACGAAGCUCUAAAAGAGCUGAAUCGAUGGAGACUGAGAGAAUAAAGAGCGAACACUGGAAACUCUAGAUCUAGGUUUAGACUGUGGAUAACCCUAGAUCGGUGAGGAUUCACUAAACCGACCGAUUAAUCGGUGGAAAUGGAUGAUUAAUCAGUGGAAAUGGUCUAGAUCGGGGCAAAGGAAGGUUCAAUCGGUGGAAAAUGGAAAACUAUGAAAGGAAAGGUGUUUUAACGGUCAAGAUAUGAAGAAAUGGUGGAACGAGGCUGAGACGAGGAAGAAACAAAAAUGAGGAAGUGAAUUGGAGAUGAAAACCAGACUUACGAUGAGGAGGAAGGGAGUCUAUGAACGAGAAAUGGAUUAGAGGCGCUUGAGAAGGAAAACCUAGCAGAAGACUUUGUUUCGUGGUAGAGACGCGAUAAUGAAACUAUGUAUGUGUCUGAUGUGCAAGAAGAAGAGCGAAUGGUGUGCGUAAAGGAGCUGACGUGUGUAACGUUGAUGCAAGAAACAGAGGUGUGGCUUCUGAUGAGUGGUGCAACGUGGAUAUGAGAGAGAAGCAUGGUGAGGAUAAUGGAAAAUGAAAUAAUGAGGUGUGCUUGGAAGGUGGCUAGAGGAGGUCUCUUGGACUCUCUAGCCUGACUUUCAAGAGAGAAUUAUUUUCUGAUUUAGAAAACCAAAUUCUCAUUAAUAUCAAAAGUAAGGAAUACAAGUGAGGAGCUGGGUAUUUAUAGUGACCCAUGCUCCUUGCAAGCUAAACUAGGCGUACAAUGAAAUGUAGAAAUACGACUAAGAGGACUGUGUCAAGAAGGAUUCCAUCAAAUCACCUCAUAACAAUCAUCAUUAUAUCAUAACGUCCAAACAUCACGCCCAAAAUUGAUGUUCAAAACCCCAAACUCGACAUUCCAAACAACUUAGUUAUUGCCACACAACCUAGAUUCCCCAAACGAUCACCACUAGAUGUUCUCCACCAGACAUUUAACAUCAGACACUCUCCACCUAACGUUUACCAUUAAACGCUUACCACUAGAUGCUCUCCACUAGACGCUCUCCACCAAAUGCUUACCACCAGGCGCUCUCCACUCGGCGCUUACCACCAGAUGCUUUCCACCAAAUGCUUACCGCUAGAUGCUUUCCACCAGAUGCUUACCACCAGACGUUCUCCAUCAAACGCUUACCACCAGAUGGUUACACCAGAUGCUCUCUACCAAAAAGUUACCACCAAAUGCUCACCACCAUAUGCUUAGAUUUUAGCAAAAUAAAAGGCCAACUAACUCCUAAUUGGCCCAAAGCAAGUUCCUGAAACUACAGAAUUUUCCAAAAACCAUGAUUUUGAACUUAACCUGUCAAAACCCCUUAUUUUUUGCCCAAAACUCACCCUUCUAAAUUAUUCCAAAUAAAAGUUUUGUAAUAGUUCAUCAACUCAGAGUUACCAAAUCUACAUUCUUAAACUCAUCAAUAAACAACUUUCACAUAAGCAAACCAACUACACAUCAGCAUUCAUAAGUUUUCAAUUCAACAUACAACUUUUUCAAGCAACUCAACAUACCAAAUUUUGUAAUUCAAUUUAAUUUCAAAAAUCAGUCAUCACAUCAUCAUACAAACAUCAAAUAUAACAU